UUCCGGGUAGAUGGCGCCGCUUUUCCUCAAAAUAUUGGAAUGCAAGUUGGAAACGAAAAAAAAAAUGUCUUUGAGGGAUGGAACAUUAGUGCAGUUUAUCACGGCACUAUUUACAGUGAAGAAGUCGAGUCUAGUUCAUAUGCCACUAGUGUAAACAUAAUUUAAGCAACAGCAAACAGGAGGCGCAUCGGCUGGACUGCAGCAUCCACCUGAAUCUCCUCCUGCAGCCUCCGCCUCUCUGAGAGCGCGAGAGUGUCGGGAACGGAGGAAGCAGAGAUUUCACCCGACCGGAGACCGGAGGCUAUGGCAGCCGGUGGCGGAUGCGGGGAAUCGGUGGAUCAUUACCGGGCCGAGGUAGAGAGGCUGACUCGAGAGCUCGCUGAAGCGAACCGGGAGAAGAUCCGGGCUGCGGAAUGCGGUCUGGUGGUGCUGGAGGAGAACCAGACGCUCAAGCAGCAGUACGCGGAGCUGGAGACCGAGCAGGAGGCUCUCAAACAGGAGCUAGAGCAGCUGCAGGAGGCGUUCGGUCAGGCGUACACCAACCAGCGUAAAGUAGCUGAGGAUGGCGAGACAAAUGAAGAGACAUUGUUGCAGGAGUCUGCCUCCAAAGAGGCCUAUUAUACGGGACGUCUGGUGGACCUUCAAACCCAGCUCAACCUGAGCAGCUCCGUGGCCUCCAAUGCCCAAGCGGAGACUGAACGUCUCAACGCCCUGGUGCAGGAGCUCAGAGACAAUAAUGAGAUGUUAGAGCUACAGAGGAACAGGAUGAGAGAGGAAAUCAGAGAGUAUAAGUUCAGAGAGACCAGACUGCUCCAGGACUACACUGAACUGGAGGAGGAGAACAUCACUCUACAAAAACUAGUGUCAACACUCAAACAGAAUCAGGUGGAAUAUGAGGGUCUAAAGCAUGAAAUCAAAGUGCUUGAGGAAGAGACGGUGCUGCUCAACAGCCAGCUGGAAGAUGCUUUACGUUUGAAAGACAUUUCUGAAGGUCAGUUAGAAGAGGCGUUGGAUGCUCUGAAGAAUGAGAGGGAUCAGAAGAACAAUCUGAGAAAGGAGCUGGCCCAUCAUCUCAGCCUGACGGACAGUGUGUACGGAGCCAGCACCCAUCUGGCCAUCUCUGCCGUGGAGGGUUUGAAGUUCACAGAGGAGACAGCAACCAACGGCACGUCUGCAUCUGGGUCUAACACCAACAAUGAUGAACGUAACCGAGGUAAUGAGUGCAAUGGGCAUGGACCAAAGGUGAACGGAGAAUUUCACCAACCUGGAGGCCGGAAGGGAGAGGUGCUGCACCCAGUGUCUGAUCUCUUCAGUGAACUCAACCUGUCUGAGAUACAGAAACUCAAACAACAGCUAAUACAGGUUGAGCGAGAGAAGGCGGUUCUACUUACCAACCUGCAGGAGACUCAAACUCAACUGCAGCACACACAGGGCGCUUUAACUGAGCAGCACAGGCGUGUUCACCGGCUUACGGAGCGCUUCAACUCUAUGAAGCGUCUCUACAGCGACAAGGAGUUUGACACAGAGGAGUCCGAGAAGAGCGUCGGGCCCAUUAACGGUUGCUGCGAUUAUGAGGCAGACAUCAAUGGAAUGGAGCUUCUGGAGUGCAAAUACAGAGUUGCCGUGACUGAAGUAAUUGACUUGAAGGCGGAGCUUAAGGUUUUGAAGGAAAAAUAUAACCAGUCUGUGGAGAACCAAUCAGAAGAGAGCAACCACGGUGAAGGGAAGGUCCAGGCUCUUGAAGAACAAGUGAAACGGUUGGAGAAAGCCUGGCGCGAGAGUCGCGAGCGGCUUCUCGGUCUGGAAGCGGAGCUCCGGUGUGCUUCUGUCAUGGCUGGCGAAAGUAACAGCAUGCUGAACACAGCUCAGGACGAGCUGGUUACGUUUAGCGAGGAACUCGCUCAACUCUACCACCAUGUCUGCUUGUGCAACAACGAAACUCCUAACCGUGUUAUGCUGGACUACUACCGUCAGAGCCGGGUCACACGUAGUGGCAGUCUCAAAGGCCCUGAAGACCCAAGAGCCUUGCUUUCUCCACGUUUAGCUCGCCGGAUCGCUGCUGUUAACUCCUCAGAUGUGUCCAAGAGUCCUCAAGACUCUCCAUCAAAGGAACCCCUUGGAGAAGGAACUAAAGGGGAAGGAGGAAGUCCCAACAAAACCCCGUUUGGUUCACCAAUCAAUGGUUCAUCUCUCUCUCCCUCCCCAGUGCCAGAAACAGGUGAUCUCCGUCGCGAACCCAUGAACAUCUAUAACCUCAACGCCAUCAUCCGUGACCAGAUCAAGCACCUGCAGAAAGCCGUGGACCGCUCGCUCCAGCUGUCCAAGCAGAGGGCUGCGGCACGAGAGUUGGCACCCAUCCUCGAUAAGGACAAAGAGCUCUGCAUGGAGGAGAUCCUGAAACUCAAAUCCCUCUUGAGCACCAAAAGAGAGCAGAUUGCUACAUUGCGUCUUGUCCUGAAAGCUAACAAACAGACUGCCGAGGGGGCCCUUGCAAACCUGAAGAGUAAAUAUGAAAAUGAGAAGUCCAUGGUGACGGAGACAAUGAUGAAGCUUAGAAAUGAACUAAAGGCCCUCAAAGAAGAUGCAGCCACCUUUUCUUCACUGAGGGCAAUGUUUGCCACAAGAUGUGAUGAGUACGUAACUCAGCUGGAUGAGAUGCAGAGGCAGCUGGCUGCCGCAGAAGAUGAGAAGAAGACUCUGAACUCUCUACUACGAAUGGCCAUUCAGCAGAAACUGGCCCUCACCCAGCGCCUGGAGGACCUGGAGUUUGACCAUGAGCAGUCGUACUGUGGCCGUGGAGGGAAAGUGACAAAAAUUAAGAGCAGCCCUCAAAAAGUAAGUCAUCGAACUGCACUCACUGCUCCCCCUAGCCCCACUGCAUCGGUUUCAAAACCCCCUUUCUGUCUGUUCCAAAACAAUAUGGUUGCAUCAGCCAGUAGCUCUCCUUCACUGGAUGUCCCUGGUCCAUCCUCCUCCUCCUGGACCUCGUCAGACCAGCCGUUUUUCCGUGGCCAGUCUCAGUGGAAACUGGGCACUCAAACUUUAGUUUUAGACCCCGAGAUGCUAAGUAUUGAGCUUUGUCGUAGUGGAGACUCUGAUGCUCACGUUCCCAGAUCUGCUCCUACUUCCCCCUACCGUUCUCCUGUCCUGGGCACUCGGCAACCGUUGCCACUUUCCGUGAGAUAUCGUCUGCGCUCCAAUGUGACUCAAUUCACACCUUCAGCUGCUUCAAGAACUUCUCUAAUCCAGUCUGGGACUCCCAGAAUCCCUAGUGGUGACCCUCAGUAGGUGACAUGGUUUAAGGACAGACUGGUUUCCAUUCUAUGACUGCUUGGAGCAUAUGAUUCAACUCAGGGGUAGAUUUAGAGAUUUUUUUACUGAUAUUAUUCUGAACAGAAUUAUGUUUUCCCAGCUCUAGAAAGACACUAUUGGUCAAAAUGUAAUCAAGAUUUUUUUUUUAAUGUUUUUGAAACAAUUCUCUUAUGCCCACCAAGGCUGCAUUUUCUUUGUUCAAAAAUACAGCAAUAUCAGUAAUGUGGUGAAAAACUAGUACAAUUUAAAAUAACUCUCUAUUUUAAUACAUUUUAAAAUAUAAUGUAUUCCUGUGAUGGCAGAACUGAAUUAUCAGCAUCAUUUCUCCAGUCUUCAGUGUCACGUGAUCCUUCAGUAAUCAUUCUGAUGUGCUGAUUUGCUGCCCAAGAAACAAUUCUCAUUAUUAUCAAUGUUGUGCUGCUGCUUAACAUUUUUGUGGAAACACUACAACAUGGUACACUACCAUUCAAAAGUUUGAGGUAAGAUUUAAAAAGGAUGGAAUACUUUUAUUCAGCAAGGAUGCAUUACAUUUAUAAUGUUACAAAACAAAAUUCAAAUAAAUACUAUUCUUUCAAACUUUAUAUUCAUCAAAGAAUCCUGAAAAAAAAAAAUAUGACAGGGUUCACAAAAAAUAUUAAUCAGCAGUUUUUUAACACUGAUAACAUUAAGAAAUGUUUCCUAAGCACCAAAUCAGCAUAUUAGAAUGUUUUCUUCAUUCUUCUAGAAUGACUUCUUUUAGAAUCAUAAAAAAUAGUAAUCAUUCCAAACUUUUAAUUAUUGGCUUUAUGAGAUCGUAGAUUAUUAAAAUAUUGUCUGGAUAUAAAAAUAUGUUUAAAUAAUAAUAAAAAAAAUUGCAUUAUGCUUGAUGUCAUUUUUUGCGGCCUGGGUAAGAAAGCUGUUUUUUGGCAAGCACAAUUGUUGUGAAUCUGCAUCAGUAAGGACAUGUAUUUGGAUCAUACUGGAAGAAUUACUCUGUAAAGCAGAACAGGUAUUGAUUGGUGCAUGUUUCUAUUCGAAUAUAAUUCCUGCAUGUUCGCUUCCAUUUUAUAGCUUGAUGAAAUGGGUGCUACGUACUGCAUGCAAAGCAGUUAGUUUGUGUGAUGGAGUUUCAGUUCUUUUUGCAUUGGCUAAUAGCACGUCUGCCAUAACUACAGCGCCAUCCACUGGCAAUUACUUUGGCCUUUAUGUAGUCAUCAAGCCUUAUGACUUGUGAUAAAGUGCUAAAUAUUGAAAUCAUGAGUAGCAGCUUAUGUAUAAUUAUUACAUUAAACUUAUUUUAUUAUAAGAUAAAUGCAAACUGCUUUGCUAGCUAACAGUUAAAUGCUCAGUUGAACUCAAUGCACUCUGUAUAGAGCAGAGCUAUUCCUGGACACAGCAUAUGGCAGUGCAGGAUCUGUCAUAUGCAAAUGCAGAGACGUGUUCUUGCACAUGGUGCCUGCUGCCCAGCUACUGCAUUUCAAUAAGCUCUAGAGUACAGAGCCACAUCAAAGUGCCAUUCAUUAUAUCAUGAGUCAUUCUAUGGAAUGGGUGCCUGUUUAGUUUGAUAAGGAAAUUUUUAAUGUCAAUUUCUGGAUGUUUUAAACAUUCUUUUAGGCAUAUAAUGUGUUUUAAGUUUUAAUCAGUUGUCUUGUUCCAUUUCAAAUUAAAUGUAUGACUUUUAAUGCAUUUUAUUAGGGUUAAUAUACAGUGGGUAACAGGGUUGAGAGUUUUAAGCCCUUUGAUCAUUACAUGUUAAUAUUUAUAUAUUAUUAUAUAUAAUGUAUUUUUCUGUAAUAUAUUUUUGUUUCAUUUUUUUAAUUAUCAGUUUUUUGGUUUUUAUACAAAAUAGUGGUAACUGUUUGAAAAUGUAAGAUUGUCCCUUGCUGACAAACAUAAAAGAGCAUAAUAUAAAGUUAUGCAAUGAGUUGUCAGGAAGAGUUCCUGAAAAGACUUUGCCAUUAUGAUAACUUUUAUUUAUUUAUUUAUUUGAGUAAACUAUUGGACAAGAAGAGUUCACUUUAAUUUCAGAUUAAGGAUUUAUAUUAUAGGAUUUAUUUAAUUUAACUAAAAUAUAUUGUUUUGUUCAACUCAAACAGCAAUUAAGAAAUGCUACUUUUUAUUUACAUAUAUUUCUUAAUCAGAAUGUAAAUAUUUGCUAAAAUAUCAAGGAGAAUGGCAAAAAAUGUAUUCUUGACUAAGACUAAAGAAAAGAAAAAUAAAUAAAAUAAUAUAACAGGAAAUUUUCACACACACACAAAAAAUUACAUUAACAGAUGACAGCUUUUAAUGUGUCUCAAGUCAUUUUUUACACAUUUGUAUAUAAAGUGUAUAUAUUAUACUGCAAGUAUAAUGUGUACAGUAUGUAUUAAAAAACGGCACUCGUUUUGUAGAAAGACCUUCACCUUUAAGAACCUUUGGGCGAAAAAGCAUUUGACAAGGUCAGCAGUUAAAGAUUGUUCAGAACAUUGUGUUAGCAUUGCUCAUGCAAGGCUCACAGAGAUUAAGUUCAUAGCUGUUACAUUUACAUGUAUAGACAAGUCUCUGGAUUAUUAUAUUUUUCUUUAUUUUUUUUUUUCUAGGAGUGAUCUGAGAUUUCAGUGUAAUAUUGCUGAUUCCUGUGCCUUGCUUAAAGACAUGUUAUAUAUAUUAUGUAUGAUGUUGUUUGGAAUUUUACUUUAGUGUAAUGGAAACCAGUCUGAUCCACUUCACCGGUGUCACGAAGACCCAACAUUAUAGAAUGCAGUGCCACUUGACCAUUUUAUUCCCACUAAAUUUACGAAGGUUUAACAAUUUGUUUUAAUAAUUGUUCUAAUUACAACAGUCAUAAUUUUCAACUAUCGUAAUGUGACAUAAUGUAAAUGCAUCACAUUCCUGAGGUGUGACACUUCUAUAGGUUUUUUUUUUUUUUUAAACAGUUUUCAACUGUCAGUAUAUUGUAUCAUAAAAACAAUCUUUAUUUUUCCUUUUAAUGAGCAAUGGAUGCUUCCAUCUGCCUGCAGGAGUCAGUGUUUCCACAUUUCACAUCCUUUGCUCAUUACUGGAUUUGUUAAAUGCUGUUUUGCCCAAGGUGACAAAGACAUAUACCAACCACAGAGCAGUAGUUUCCUUCUGAUAAAAAUUUUAUUAAAUUACAUUUAUGACUCUGGAGCUGUAGAUAGCUAUAAUUGUUUGCACUAUGAACAUGGUUAUGUCAUAAUACAUUUCUACAAACAACUAACCCAGUACACGCAGAAACUGUAGAGCCACAUCUUAAAAAGCACAUAAAAUAAGUGCAUAGCAACACCCUGACAAACACCCUCACAUCAUCCUAAAAACUACUCAAAUUGUAAUGGAAAAAAAAAAAAUCUUGUUAUUACAAAUUUCCAUAGAUUGCUCCAAAUGUGUAUAUGUGCUCUUAGCUAGACAACAUCAAAUAUAAUGUUUUAAAUAUGACUUUUUGACUUGUUAAAUGUGUAAACGCAUGUGUAUUUGCAAGCUCCCAUUAACAAAGCAGCAACGCAGUUUGUCAUUUGCACCUGCAUACACUACUUUUUUAAAAGUUUGAGAUCAGAGAUUUUAUUUUAUUUAUUUUUAAGAGAUUAAUACUUUUAGGAUAUAUUAAAUUGAUCUAAAUGAAAUUAAGGACAUUUAUUAUGUCACAAAAUAUUUCUGUUUCGAAUAAACGCUGCUUUUUUUCAUCAGAAAAUCUUGGGUAAAAAGUAUGACACUUUCCGUGGAAAUAUUAAGCAGCACAACUGUUUUCAGCAAUAAUAAUAAUUAAUGUUUUUAGAGCACCAAAUCAGCAUUUUAGAACGAUUCCUGAAGGAUCAUGUGGCACUGAUGACCGGAGAAAAUAUAAGGAAUACAUUUUAUCUUAAAAUAUUUGAAAUAGAAUACAGUAAUUUUAAACUGUAGUAAUAUUUCACAAUAUUACUGCAUUGUUUGAUCAAAUAAAUGCAGCAUUGGUGAACAUAAGAACUCAAUUUUACUGCCCCAAACUUUUGAGAAGUAGUGUAUCUCUGUUUAACAAACUGAAGGUGAUACCACCUUGCUUUUCUUUCCAUCUAUACCUACCAUGCCUCAUGAAUGCACAUGAAUAUAGGCAGCUGAUUAUUUGUAAUAAUUUUUCUCAUUCUAUAUGCGCUAUCUGUUCAUUUUGCAUGUGAUUCUGCUUUAGAUUAACACACAGAAUCACGCCCAAACGUUAGAGCAUUGCAGCCAUUUCCAGCUUCGUUCACUUCGCAUCUCUGUGCCCAUCUCUGUCUGUGUUUGUGUCACUAACCCUGAUUGUCACACCUCUGUAUAUGUCUAAUUUAUCAGUCUCUCUUAGAUUGUCAGCAGCCUGCUGGCUCAGUACCGCCAACCUCCCCACAACUGAGGCGUGGGAGGGCAUCCACGGGCCACAGUCCUAAUGUGUUGUUAGCUCUUCAAGAGGACCUGAUGACUGCGGCCAACACCAGACUUCCAUGC